GACGAACGCUGGCGGCGUGCUUAACACAUGCAAGUCGAACGGAAAGGCCCUGCUUUUGUGGGGUGCUCGAGUGGCGAACGGGUGAGUAACACGUGAGUAACCUGCCCUUGACUUUGGGAUAACUUCAGGAAACUGGGGCUAAUACCGGAUAGGAGCUCCUGCUGCAUGGUGGGGGUUGGAAAGUUUCGGCGGUUGGGGAUGGACUCGCGGCUUAUCAGCUUGUUGGUGGGGUAGUGGCUUACCAAGGCUUUGACGGGUAGCCGGCCUGAGAGGGUGACCGGCCACAUUGGGACGGGGAUACGGCCCAGAAUCCUUCGGGGGGCAGCAGUGGGGAAUAUUGCACAAUGGGCGGAAGCCUGAUGCAGCAACGCCGCGUGCGGGAUGACGGCCUUCGGGGUGUAAACCGCUUUCGCCUGUGACGAAGGGUGAGUGACGGUAAUGGGUAAAGAAGGCCCGGCUAACUACGUG
rnacentral:rRNA from 1 species